rnacentral:rRNA from 1 species
GUAGGUGGCAAGCGUUGUCCGGGAAUUAUUGGGGCGUAAAGCGCGCGCAGGCGGUUCUUUAAGUCUGAUGUGAAAGCCCACGGGCUCAACCGUGGAGGGUCAUUGGAAACUGGAGAACUUGAGUACAGAAGAGGAAAGCGGAAUUCCACGUGUAGCGGUGAAAUGCGUAGAGAUGUGGAGGAACACCAGUGGCGAAGGCGGCUUUCUGGCCUGUAACUGACGCUGAGGCGCGAAAGCGUGGGGAGCAAACAGGAUCAGAUACCCUGGUAGUCCACGCCGUAAACGAUGAGUGCUAAGUGUUAGGGGGUUUCCGCCCCUUAGUGCUGCAGCUAACGCAUUAAGCACUCCGCCUGGGGAGUACGGCCGCAAGGCUG